rnacentral:tRNA from 1 species
CGGAACGUGGCGCAGUCAGGUAGCGCACUGGUAUGGGGUACCAGGGGUCGCUGGUUCGAACCCAGUCGUUCCGACCA